rnacentral:lncRNA from 1 species
AGGUAUGCAUGUGCAAAUCAGAACUAAAGCAGGUGGACAUACGUUCAUGUGAAUCUUAAAUAAGAAGUUUAAUGUAGUUAUGUUUGUCUAACCCUAAGCCCCUGAAUUUUGAAAGUGGUAUCUUUGGCCAUUACAUAUUGGUUGGUGACAGUGACGAAUAAGGAAUGUAGUAGAACAGCAAUAUGGGUUGUGGAAAUGAAGAUUUCCUAUACUCCGCUUAGGAACGAGACUACAAUUAGAAAACAUGACUGUGAUUGUUGCAACUAGAGUGCUUCAUAAUAUUGCCAUUGAUAUGGAUGAUAAUUUUCCUGUGAAUAAAACUGAAGAUGAAGCAAACGAUGAAUAAUUACAACCGAUAAAAAAUAACGAAAAUAUUUCAGAAAACAAUAUAACUGUGUUAAUAAAUGAACACUUUGGUAGAUUGUAAAUAUAUUUAUUAAUAAAAUCAAAAUGAAUGUA